rnacentral:rRNA from 1 species
UGGGGGAUAUUGCACAAUGGGCGAAAGCCUGAUGCAGCGACGCUGCGUGGGGGAUGAAGGCCUUCGGGUUGUAAACUUCUUUUGCUCUGAACAAGGCAUGCUAAUGGGUGGGUUGAGGGUAGGUGGAGAAGAAGCGCCGGCUAACUACGUGCCAGCAGCCGCGGUAAUACGUAGGGCGCGAGCGUUGUCCGGAAUUAUUGGGCGUAAAGGGCUUGUAGGCGGCUUGUUGCGCCUGCUGUGAAAACGCGGGGCUUAACUUCGCGCGUGCAGUGGGUACGGGCAGGCUUGAGUGUGGUAGGGGUGACUGGAAUUCCAGGUGUAGCGGUGGAAUGCGCAGAUAUCUGGAGGAACACCGAUGGCGAAGGCAGGGCACUGGGCCAUUACUGACGCUGAGGAGCGAAAGCAUGGGUAGCGAACAGG